UACGUGCAUCAAAUCAAACGAGUUACGGUUCAUUAAAUAAAAUCAGUUGAGAUAAAAUCGUGAUAUUUGAGAAGAAAUUAAUUUGAAAAUAAGAUUUAAUGUUACUGCUUCAACGAAUUAUUCCAAGCUUAAAUAUUAUUAAUAUCUUUACAUUAAAACAGGGUGCGCUGCAGGCUACGACUAUUAAAGUGAACGUAGUCGAAUAUUGUGUUUUAAUUAGAAAAAAAAGAAGAUUCUAUGUUAUUAUAAUAUGAAUUUGAAAAGUAUUUUCAUAGAUUGAUUUAAUCAUAGUUAUUUCAAAACAAUUCUAAACUUUGAAACUAUGCCAUUCAAAGAAAGUGUUAUUUGUUCCGACUAGAAAUACAAAUAUGAAAAUAAUAUUUAGGCCAGAAAGAUGGAAAAAUGAUAAUCGAAUUUUGAAAGUUAUCGUCUUCUCAACUACCGUUGAAAAAUAAUACGUCUUCUUGCUUUUUCGGGUUCUCGUAUCAUCCUUAUAAUCCCAGGAUCUUUAUCCACCACCCUUGAAAACGGCACCACGACAGCUGUUAGGAACACAGUAAGGAUGAACCCUUUGCCCUAUUGGGGAAAGAAUUGAAUAAAAUUUAUAAGGAAGCUAAAACAGCAUCGCACAUACCACCCCAAAUACUAUGAUGGUGCAUAGCGGGGGAAAAAGAAGUACGUAGUAUGAUGAAGAACUGCAACGAGAAAGAGAAAGAUAGAUAGAAAGAAAGAAAGAAAGAAAGAGAGAGAGAGAGAUAGAAGAGCAUGGGUUCAGAACCGUGCCGUGAGAACAUAAGUAUGUAUGGAAUUAAACUCGGAAGGAAGAUAACGGUCAUUUGAAAAGGAAAUUCAAAUGGAAUACAUCAUUUAUCCUUAAUAAUGAACAACUUUGCGUGACUCUGUAAUGAAAGGGAGUUACACACUAGGAAUUCUUGGAAUUUGGAUGGUAUAACUAAAGGAGGGGAUCUAUGAAACAAUUUGCCUGGCCUCUUGUAAGCUCUGUUAGAAUCUUCGACAACCACAACCACGACGAUGAUGAUGACGACAACGACGACGAGGACGAUGGAAUACACCACCCAAGAGAGCCCUAAUUUCGUAGAAUAACGACGAUGCCUUCAGAAGAUGCCUCGAAGAAAAUUUAAAAGAAGAUGAAGCACGUAUUCUACAAUAUUCUGGUAGCUUGGAGAAAUCCCGACUGAAGAUGAAGAUCUUGGAAGCUGAUGGUGAUCUUGCUGAUGGUGAAAAAGAAGCAAAGAUGAAGAAGACGAUGCUUCACGUAGGAAGUUUUCGAGCAAACUGCUGCUCGUGGCCAGGUGUUCCUCCUCUUUAUUCCUUUUGGCUGCCAUAACAAACUUGGUUGCUUUCAAGGACUAUUCAUCCGGUCGUUUCUUUCCUUCACCUGGGACAGCUGGAACUCAGGACGACCACGUGCUCUCGACUUCAACGAGCAAUCCCAGCAUAGCAGGUUGCAACGGUUUAUCGUAGCAUUAUCGAAUCGUUGAUUAAGAGGAAUCAACAUAAAUUCAUUCACGAAAAUUAUACACACCUAUAACUUAAUACGUUCUACUACAAAUGAUAUUUACUCGCUACUAUCGAUUAUAAUUAAUCCUCUAAUUGUGAAAGAUUAUUAUAUGUUACUUUGUAAGAUACGAAGAAUUUCUAAAGACUGCACAGUUUCAUAACAAAGCUUAAACGUUUACUCGAGCAAACUAAUUUUCAAUUUGAUUUUGCGAAUAGUCGAAAUUUUAUAAAACACGUUAAAUAAUUCAUUUCAAUUGAAUUUUAUUAUAAUUGAUGGUCGUUCGUCUCAACGUUCCUUCUUAAUCGUUAACUCUUACAGUUUAUUGUGCAAUCGAUGAUAACAUGUUCACACGGAACUCUACAUAUGUAUUUAAAUGAAUCAGUGAUUAUA